rnacentral:lncRNA from 1 species
GAGACUGAAUAUUAGACAUUAAUGGUACUUAUUCUUAAGUUAAGAAUACAAAGCUGGAUGGAAAAGGAGGAAAGGGAUGAUAGCAGAUUCGUUCUAUUCUGCUAUCGACAAAGAUAGAUGAUAGAUCAAGGGACAAAAUUUACAAAAGCUUCAACUAAACAAAAUUCCAUGAACUCCAAUUAGCAAGACUUUCAGCUAACCGGAGUUUGUCAGAGGCAUACCUUUUCCCCAAACCUUCAACUAAACAAAAUUCCAUGAACUCCAAUCAGCAAGACUUUCAGCUAACAGGAGUUUGUCGAUGCAUACCUUUUCCCCAAACCUAUAAGAAAACCUCAAAACUCCUUGUGAAUUCACAGAACCAUUUUGCACAGGAUGACUCACAACAGCACUGCCCCCAACAGGAUAUGCAUAAUCAAACAAAUCUUUCAUGGAGGUAUGAACUUCUCCUAUGUACCUAUCCCCUAGUUUACGUUUACAGUACAGUUUAAUGACGAGCACAGUGUUGAAAUGUUGUACCAUGGACUCAUUUAUGGUGUACUUCAAAGUGAAAUUCCAUGCAGGGUUGACCUCGCCAUGCUUGUCUGCUGGAGUUCUCCUCUCUGCUUCGCUGCUUCCCCCUAUUGAAACCCUCAAGUAAACUUUCAUCUUGAAAAAUUUUCGAACAUCUUCCAAGUCAUUUGCUGACAAAAGGGUUAUCUCAAAUUUUCUGCAGUCCAUCUUUUGGAGUUAAUUCGCAGAAAUUGGAAUAACAACAGGCAGAAGAAAGAAGAAGCGGUUUUUUUUUUGGGUUAAGUGGGAGUCCAAGUUAUGAAGCAUACUCUAACCACCGCAAGUAUUGAUUUAUAGACAUAGCAUUGCUGACUCGACUAUGAGAUGAGAAAUUCUGAAGCAGUUUCGUCAUAAGCCUCUCUUUCUAUGAAAUCAUUCACGUAUGGACUAAUUUCAGUUUGUACCCCUAAACUUAUACCAUUUCAUUUUGCAUCUUAACUUUAAUUUUAAAUACUUUGCGCCCCAA